GUGUCCGUUAAGUGUCACAGUGGAAUUAUUCUGAAUGGGGAGGACAAAUUAGUCCUUCUGUAUUGUUUGGAUUUAAAAUUCUUCGAAACCCUAAUUUUUCAAAAUUCCCAAUUAUUCACUCUGAAACCAAACCCUAGCACAAUGCAUAAUGAAUAGCAUCGGAAGCUCCAGAAGCACGAGGAGCCAAAGAAUGGAAAGGAAUGAAGGCAACGGUGGCAAUUGUAGGGGUGACUCAACACAUGGAAGAGGCUCCAACAAUAAAAUCGCGCCAAAGUGUAACUGUCAGCUAUAUGCAACAAUAUAUAAGUCUGGAACAGUAGAGAAUCCAGAUAGAUUGUUUUUAGGAUGCCCAAACUAUAGGGACAAUUUGCCAUACUGCAAAUUCUUUAGAUGGUUGGAUGAUGUUGCUAGAGAUGUCGAAGUUCAAAGUUCUAAGUAGGGAGUGGAGGAUAGAUUAAUUGAUUUGGAGGAGAGAAUUCUGAGACUGGAAAUGGAUUGUAGAAAUAAAGAAAAUUCGAGCAAAAUUACUGGCAGUAGAUAUAGAAAUGUUCUGUAUUUUAUGGCUGAUUUCUAAGUUGCAAUAAUUGUGAAUGUGUGGAGUAAAGGUUCUGGGUGAUUCAAGUGAGAUAGUUGAAGCAUGAAUGUAGUAGUAUUUAUAAUUGUAUUAUUACGAAUGCGAUAAUGAAUAGUUAUUUUUGAA